UCCAGACUCUGUGGAACAUUAAGAUAGCGGUGCUGGUGAAACCAGAACAUGAAAACCGCAUCAGUCAUGUGGGAGUGUCCAGUGUUAAAACGGGUAUUGCUAAUACGCUGGGUAACAAAGGGGCAGUGGGCGUGUCUUUCAUGUUUAAUGGAACUUCCUUCGGCUUUGUGAACUGUCAUCUGACAUCAGGCAACGAAAAGAUUGGCAGGAGGAACCAGAACUACCUGGAUAUCCUGCGGCUGCUCUCUCUAGGAGAUAAACAGCUGAGCUCCUUUGACAUCUCUCUA